GACUCCUCCUAUCCUCUCCUCUCUCCUCCUCCUCUCAGUUGGCUGUGUGACUCCUUGCCGGGACGGUAUAACAGUAGCCUACAGAGCAGCGGUACCGGAGGUGGAUGGGGACGGACAGUAGCCGCAGCAGCAGCAGCAGCAGCAGCAGCAGCAGUCGGGCGCACCGACCGAAGCAUGCUCCAGCGCAGCCAUGACUUGCUCGGCGUCAGAUAGCGAAAAGAUCGUGAUCAACUGCGGCGGGAUCCGACACGAAACCUACCGGAGCACCCUGAAGACGCUGCCGGGAACGCGCUUGUCCUGGCUGACCGAGCCCGACGCCUUCAGCAACUUCGACUACGACCCCAAGUCCGACGAGUUCUUCUUCGACCGCCACCCGGCCACCUUUGCCUUCAUCCUCAACUACUACCGCACCGGCAAGCUCCACUGCCCCAACGAUGUGUGCGGGCCGCUGUUCGAGGAGGAGCUCGCCUUCUGGGGCAUCGACGAGACGGACGUGGAGGCGUGCUGUUGGAUGAACUACCGGCAGCACCGCGACGCGGAGGAAGCUCUGGACAGCUUCGAGCAGCCGGAGCCGGACGCGCCUGAGGAUGACCCGGCGCUCACCGGCGGAGCGGAUGGAGACCUGAAGCGGCUGUGCAUGCAGGAGGACUGCCGCAGGCAGUCGCGGUGGGACCAGUGGCGGCCCUUUAUGUGGGCGCUGUUCGAGGACCCCUACUCCUCCAAAUACGCACGGUAUGUGGCGUUCGGCUCGCUUUUCUUCAUCCUGCUCUCCAUCUCCACCUUCUGCCUGGAGACCCACGAAGCCUUCAACACCAUCUACAACAAAACAGAGAAUGUCACCGUUGGCAACGUGACGCAUGAGGAGAUAGUGUAUGAGGUAGUCACAGAUGGCUGGCUGACAUAUGUGGAAGGCGUCUGCGUCAUUUGGUUCACCGUUGAGGUGUUUGCCCGUGUCGUCUUCUGCCCCGACAAGGCAGAGUUCUUCCGCAGCGCCCUCAACAUCAUAGACUUUGUGGCCAUCGUGCCAUUUUACCUGGAGGUGGCGCUGAGCGGCCUCUCCUCCAAAACAGCCAAAGACGUGCUGAGCUUCCUGCGUGUGGUGCGCUUUGUACGUAUCCUGCGUAUUUUCAAGCUGACUCGUCACUUUGUCGGUUUGCGGGUCCUGGGCCACACUCUGCGGGCGAGCACCAACGAGUUCCUGUUGCUCAUCAUCUUCCUGGCGCUGGGCGUCCUCAUCUUUGCUACCAUGAUCUACUAUGCUGAACGCAUCGGUGCCGACCCUGACGAUCCAACAGCCGCGACCCACACCAGCUUCAAGAACAUCCCCAUUGGGUUCUGGUGGGCUGUGGUGACCAUGACCACGCUGGGCUACGGGGAUAUGUACCCUGAGACAUGGUCAGGAAUGCUGGUGGGUGCCCUCUGCGCCUUGGCCGGUGUGCUGACCAUCGCCAUGCCUGUGCCCGUCAUCGUCAACAACUUCGGCAUGUACUACUCCCUGGCGAUGGCCAAGCAGAAGCUCCCCAAGAAGAGGAACAAGCACAUCCCCCGAGCGCCACAGCCCGGCAGCCCCAACUACUGCAAGCCAGAUGCCCUGGCCAUGGCAACCGCCUCGCCGCACAGGCUGAUGGGCAAUGUGCUCGGGCCGGGCGUGGUGGGAUCCGGCAGCAUGAUGGGUACUGGAGACUGCCCACUGGCACAGGAGGAGAUCAUCGAGAUCAACAGGGCAGAUUCCAAGCAGAAUGGCGAUGCGGCGGCUAAUGCGGCGGCCCUGGCCAAUGAGGACUGCCCUACCAUCGACCAGGUCCUUGGGGACGAGCGUAGCCCGGCCACCGGGGGCCUCGGCUCCACCACCAGCCGCGAGCGCUACCCGCACGACCGGGCCUGCUUCCUGCUGAGCGCCGGGGAGUUCCAGCGCACGACGGACGGGAACGUUCGAAAAGAGAACUGUUCUGACAGCCCUGCGCUAAUCAGAUAUAUGCAAAAAGAAGCAGUAACUGUGAACUAAUGCUAAGACAUGAAAAAAAAAAAAUCCAGCUUCUUCCAUCAUUGUCUCGACUCCUCUUCUGCAAGAGAGAGGAGAGACCAUGCUCCUCCCCCAAGAUACCUCCUCGCCAAAAUCCCCCUAGCCAUCAUCUCAUUGGUCCGCUUCUUCAUUAUCUGUCCGUGACUUCAUCCUGCUCAUGUCAUGUUUCAUUUCCUUCUGUCUUGUUCUAUUCUCUAUACACUCGCUGCAGUAAGUUCAACAGAAGGAUACCUCUGCAGUGUGAAAUGGCAAUGAUUAAAUGCAAGUUUCCACAAAGGAUGAAGAUCAGGGCCAGAUUAACCUGCCAGGGGGGCCUCGGGCAAAACUGAGCUGCGGGCCCCUUAUGAGCAAGCCCACUCCCCACCCCCCUCCCACCCCCCCCUUUUUUUUUUUUCUCUGUAAUGACGUCAGGAAACACUUUCCGCUUCACAGGAAUUUAUUUCCUCCAUGGCAGCUUCCAUUAACUGGGCUUCCUAAACAUUUUUAGUCCUGACUAACUCUAGAAGACACAUAAAUGGACAUGAAGAAUUUUGCUAGCCUAGCAACAUUAAGGCUACAAACAACCCAUAAUGCAACACUCUCUGUAGGAACCUACUGUGCAAUACGUCAGACCGGCAAUACGUCAUCCAGAGUAGGCUUGCAUGACCACGCCCCUUUUUAGGGGGAAACCAAUCCCGUGUCCCCUCGUAGACGGUAACAGAGUAAACAGAAUAAGUUGAAACAUGUCUCCAAACUUCUACUUUAAGAGUAAUAACGCUAUGCUGAAGAGUUGCUGCGUAGUUGGUUGCACCACAAAUAUAUCCAAAAAUGCUGAACUCCGAUUUGUUCCCCUGCAGUGUUCUAAAAAAGAUCUAAUAGAGGGGCUUUAUGGCUCCAAGCAAUAGACCAACUGCACUCCCUUUUUGGGGGAAAGAAACUCGCUGUCACAGGCAAUCAACCUUAAUUUAUUACGGUAUUGCGCACACUAAGGUUCAAGAUUAUCUAUAUCACUGUCAAAUAAAGGCAAAAGCCAAAGAAAAAUACGUCAAAUUGCAUUGAAGUCUAUGAGAUCUUGUGUUUUCUAUCCCCUAAAAGGGGGCGUGACCUUGACUUUUUGCGAAGUACCCGUAUGUGCCGGUCUGAUACGUAACUUAAAUAUAAUGUGACCUCCCCCACACUUUCUCAAACAUAAUAAUCUUGUUUUAUAUUCUGGCCAAUCCAGUAUCAACUGCCAAAUCAAUUAAAAAUGCUGGGAAGUUAAAAGACCCCAUGGGAUCAUUACUUCCUUUGUGUGACGUAAUUCCCGUUGAAACAAGUCAGCGGGUGUGAACCAGCUGGUUAUGCUGUCAAAGACAGAUUGAUUUGACAGGAUGGUCAAAAAGGCGAGAUCAUUGAAAACUUUCUGAUUGUGGACAUGGCAGGGAUCGUGCUGAGAAGUUCAGUUCAGUUUAUAUUGUGCUGAGACGACUAUCUCCAGAAGUGCGUUCAUGUGGGUUUUCAGAGAAACCCACGCCUAGUAUAAAAGAUCCAAACUUUUCCUCGUCACGAUUCCACGUCAGGACGGUCGUGUAGCGUGUCAGACUUUUAUGCAGGAGACCAAAGCCCGUCACAGACACACAAUUAAUGUUCAAGUUUUCUUUAUUUUUAAUCUUUACCUAGCCCUAUCAAAAUGUUUUAGUUACCAUGGAGUCAUAUAGGCCAUUUUUGCCACACCGAUGAUUUUUUUCCUAACCUUAACCAUAACGUUGUCGUCAUGUAUAGAUAUUACAGAAAGUGACAAUUUUAAAAAGACAUUGGCAUUGGACGUAAAGAAAGAUCUUUGAAGAAGUUGCAUUGCAGUGAGAAACCACACUGCAGAGGCACCCUUCGAAAUUCAGAUUCUAUUUUAAUUAUAAAUUAAUUCUUAAGCUUCUGCCCCUUGUUGCUAAUGUUUCUCUCCUUUCCAUCCAUUCACAACUCAGGUAUCUCUUUACUCAAUGUCCCCCUCUGUGCCCCCCCGUGUUUCUGUUCGCCCACGUUUCCUCAAAGAUGUACUGUAUGUAUAACGAAGGGAGAGAUAAGAAAAAAGUGUUCUCUCUUUUCUGUCCCUGUGAACGCCAUGUGCUCUGUUUUGUGGCUCUUGCCCCCCGCCCCCCUCCUUCAAAAAAUGCAAUUUUGCUUUCCUUGUCCAAAUGUGCUUCCUGUCUUCUCCUUGUGUCGUUCCCUCGUCUCUCCACCCUCUUUCAAUAACUGUGUCCCUCCUCUUGAGAGACACACCAUCCACCCCGCCCCCACCACCCCCCUACCACCCUGAAGUCUCUCACAGCAAAAACCAAAAAAGGAAUUGAGUAUAAUUGGAGCAACUUCGCACCAAGAAAAAAAAAUCAAAGUUUGGCCUAACACGGGAUUUCACCAAGGAGGAAGACAGGAAUGGACUUUUUAAAUGAAUGAAAAACACUGCUGUGAUAUAUCGUAGAUAGGGGAGGAGGGGGAAAAUGUGCUGUGAAAUGAUGUGUUCUGAGUGGAUUGUCAGCCGAGCAGCAUCAGAGGGAGGAGAUGGAGGAGGAAAAAGUUUGGGGAAGACAGAAAAAUGUGGUGAUGAUGAGGAGGAGGAGGAGGAGGAAAGAAAGAAAGAAGCAAAAUCGCUUCUCCAUUGCUGAGUUUCUAAACCCCCUACCCCUUUCUCUACAAGAAGAGGAAAACAAUAAACUUUGAAACCGCUGCUCCUCCAUCUCCCCCGACGGGAUUCACUGUAGAAAACGGGAGGGAGGUAGAGAGAGAGAGAGAGAGAGAGAGAGGGAGAGAAAAAAAAGAAGACGAGUGGUAGAAACCAUCACUGACACUCUGCCCUGAACAUCUUCCAUCAUCUGUGUGACACAUUCAUAUGCAACAUCGCUUGACGAUCCCAACGAAGAAAAUGGUCACGAUCACAUAAAAGCUAUUUCAAGACGGGAGAGAAAACGUUCUCGCCAGGUUUGAACUGAUCUUUCAGAGUAAACCACAGCACGGAUGCUCCCAGCGUAGCAGCCAGAGGGCCUUCUGGCACAUUUGGAUUUGGAAACCAUGCAACAAGGAUGCCCUUCCAUUUUAGUUUUGUCGUCGCUUUACUCUUUUUUUUUUUUAUUUCAAGAAGCUUCGUUCUCAACUGUUGAUUUCCAGUGGAUGUUCCAUUAUUUUGGCAACUCAAAGCACUAUGCAAGGUGAGGGGUGGUCCAUCGUGAUGUCUAUAACGGCUCUGGCAGAGUCGGAUCCAGUGUUGGCGCUGGGCUGCCCGGGAGCCAGGACGCCCUGCUAAUCUCUGCUGAGCUACAGGACCUCUUAACAGCAGGCUGAAAUCUACUCAUACAUAUCAGAAAACAUCAGCCAUAUCACAUGCAUAUUUGACAUGAUCCCAAUACUGUAUUUGAUAUCGUCUGAAUCUAUCCGGGAGACAGUUGACAUCUCGGGACUUCAUGUUCAACUGAUCGGGUUGAAAUACCGAGAUCUCAGCAAAUGUCAAAGAGCCAGUUUUCAUCCACCUCGUGAUGGAAUUAACCCAAAGACAGACAGACAGAGAGACACAUGGAUGGACGUACCGCUGAGGGUGAACAGAAGCCCUCAGAGACAAGAAACUGUCCGUAACGUCUGGUAAAGAAAAGGAGGUGUCACUGAAAACGAAGAUGCGAUUGACCCCUCUUUCUCACUCUCUCUUUCCCUCUCGAGUGUUUACGGUAUCUUGACCGCCCCCCCGCCCCUCCCCCUCCCUGCAUCUCAGCAUCGCUGCUGCUCCUCCUCUUUAGCAAAACUGCAUGGCAUGAAUGAAACCAAUUAAAACCUGAAGAAAGACAGUCAAAGACAUAAUGGAUGGUAUAAAAAAAGGGGGAGGGUGGGGGAAGAGAGAGAACGGAAGGAGUCCAUGAGAGAGACCAUAGAUUUUUUCCACGCUGCAAUGUCAAUGCAAAGUCAUCAUCAUCAUCCAAGCUACUUUUUAACCCCUAAACUGGCUGCUAAUAUGUGCAAAACAGCAUCUCCUGCAGCAAAGUGCUCUCUCAGAAGGCAUGAUGGAUGAGGAGGAGCUCCCUUCCCCCCCUCUCUGAGGGAAAGAGGGAGGGGGCAAGGAGAUUCUGCAGACCAUACACUCUAUACCUCUGGGGAUGUGGGGCAAGAAGAUAGAGGCUUUUAAAGAAAGCAGGUAUUCAGCAGGAGCGGGAGAACAUCUUUGAGAAACUAUUCUAGGGACAAAAAAAAAAAAAAAAAAAAAUGGCAACGAUUGCAAAUUAGAAAUGCAUUUUUAUGACAUUGUUUACCAGCAUGAAUAUUCUGCAUGACUUCUGCAAGCCAUUCUGAUCUCCCCCAUGAAUAACAGGGCUAGAAAUUGAGAAUUUAAACAUGGAAAUUUAACAGAAAUUAUGUUAUAUGCAACAAAUUUAAAAAAAAAAAAGAAACUGUAGGAUUGUUUUUUUUUUCUAAAACAUUUGUUUUUCAAUUUUGUUUUUAAUGAUAAAACACAAAUAAUUAAGAAAAAAGGGUUGCAACAUCUACCCCCUACCCACACACACACACACACACACACACACACACCCCUCUAAAAUCCAAGAAGACUCCCAACUACUGCAAGUAUUUAUUCUGCUACUACAAGUUUGUCUACUACUACUUCUCACCUGACUGCUACUCUGCUUCUCCUUCUUCCUCUUCUUCUUCUUCUUCUUCUUCUCUUUCUUCUUCCUCUUGUAGCCUUUUACCAGAACCCUUAUACGUAACUCUCUCCAAUGGCAGCUGUGUAUGUCUGUGUCACGAUGUGGACCCAGAACUAUCAAACUGAUGUUGAACUGAACUGUGCUGUCCACUCAAGAGAUGUCGUUUAUUCCGUGCAUUUGAAUUGAAAAUGUCUGUUGUCCCAUUCUUUGGAACUUUUUUCUUGACCUUGAUAUCCAACACUACACUUUCAAGUUAUAAGAAAGGGUCAUAGGGUCAAGGAUAAGUCAGGAAAGGUAUACAGGUGAAGGUUUUUAUCCACACAAUGAUCCAGGCAGGUCUGAGAAGGUACAAGAUGGUUGCCUCAUCAUCCAGAGCUGUUGUUCCACAAGCUGAUGUAUUGUUUCUUUUCCCCAAAGAGCAGUUGCUUUUUGGUAAUUUCCUUCUAGAGUCCCUCCAAUGUUAUCAGUUCGGGUUAAGGUUAAAAUCAAUUUCUGUUGUACGGGGUCAGGGUUGGGGGUUAGAAUUAAUUCAUUAUAUAUGCUUAAGAACAUUUGGAGGCUACCAAAAUUCUGUGAGAUUGAAAAAUCCGCAAAAAUCUAAUUUAGUCGAAAAAUAUCUCAAUCAGCCUUAAAAAAAAACAUGUUUAAUUGUAGAUUAUAAACUCUUUUUCUCAUUUUAUGUCAACUAUAUGGUUGCCACAGACCUGACCAAACACAUGGAAAGACAAUUUGUGGUUCAAGAGAUUCAAGGGCUUCAUGGAAACACCUAAAGACUAAAAAAGAAAACAAUGACAAACUGAAGGAUGUCGUCUGCAAAUGUUUGCUCCAGUAGCUUUUUCAUGAUGUAGCUUUACUAAAAUUUGCCCUUUGACUGUCAGAGAAUCACACUAGAAAUAAUGAAUUAACUUAUGUAUUCAAGGGGAUUGAUAAUUUAUUCACCCUUGAGUUAGCUGGAAUGUAGCCACAAUAUUGGCUCAGUUAAAGCUCCCAUAUUGUUCAUGUUUUCAUGCUCUUGUUUUCCAAAGAAAAAUAAUCACUUUCUUCUGGAGUUGCAUGAAAGUGUAGCUUAAUUUAAAGUGUAUUUAUUUACUGAAUGAGGAUGGAAAAUAAGUCAUCGCAAUGUUAAAAAUCUAUCUGGCUGAUAAAACCAACCAACAUGCUGCUGAAAUCAAUGCAACUUACUCCUUCCGGUUAUAGUGGUAUAUAUGAUGUCCUUUGUGGAAAAACCUUCCAUAAAAGUGCAUAAAAAUCCUAAAGGUCUGGCCUAGUAAUCAUCACGCCAAACUAUUUCAAAUUCAUAAAAAGGUUUUUUUUAUUUAACAAACUGUCCCAGAACAUGUAUAGUCCUGCUAACUUUCCAAUUGGUGACAUUUAGUAUCUUAACUUGUUCUUAAAAAAACAGUGUAUGGUAUGUCCAGCUAAAACAUGUAGUAACUAUUCCAUAAGCCUGUAAAUGGAGGGAAAACUGAGCAAAGACAGCCCAAGGUUAAACCAGUAGAGCGGAGGCUUUCCAGUUUAUUAUCCGUGAAUGUGACCCAAUUUGAAAGACCUUAGUAACUGGUUGGUGAGGUAAUAACUCCAAACAAAGUCUCAUUUAAACACUGCUAAUACAACCUGGUGAGAAAACGCAGAGGCCGAAGACGCACGGAAUACAGUACAGUGACCAGCAUUAAUGUAUGAACAGCAGCAGUGGUGAGAGGCAGCCAUCUUGGCUCUAUUUAUUCAAACAGGGUUGGCCAUGUUACCCCCUAUCAUCAGAAACAGUACAAGCAAGGAUGUUCUGCUGGGCUAUGGGGGAAACUAUUUUCUCACAAUCUUCAGACAGAUUUAGAUAAACAGGGAAAUACGCAG